rnacentral:rRNA from 1 species
CGGGGGGGGCAAGCGUUGUUCGGAAUUACUGGGCGUAAAGGGCUCGUAGGCGGCCAACUAAGUCCGACGUGAAGUCCCCAGGCUCAACCUGGGAACUGCGUCGGAUACUGGAUGGCUUGAAUUCGGGAGAGGGAUGCAGAAUUCCAGGUGUAGCGGUGAAAUGCGUAGAUAUCUGGAGGAAUACCGGUGGCGAAGGCGGCAUCCUGGACCGACAUUGACGCUGAUGAGCGAAAGCUAGGGGAGCAAACGGGAUUAGAUACCCCGGUAGUCCUAGCCCUAAACGAUGAAUGCUUGGUGUGACGGGUAUCGAUCCCUGUCGUGCCGAAGCUAACGCAUUAAGCAUUCCGCCUGGGGAGUACGGUCGCAAGGCUG